rnacentral:rRNA from 1 species
UACGUAGGGGGCAAGCGUUGUCCGGAAUCAUUGGGCGUAAAGGGCGCGUAGGCGGCUUGGCAAGUGGAUGGUGAAAUCCCUCGGCUUAACCGAGGAACUGCCGUCCAAACUGCUUCGCUUGAGACCGGGAGAGGUGAGUGGAAUUCCCAGUGUAGCGGUGAAAUGCGUAGAUAUUGGGAGGAACACCAGUGGCGAAGGCGGCUCACUGGACCGGUACUGACGCUGAUGCGCGAAAGCGCGGGGAGCAAACAGG